UAUUAAUUUGUGGGUCUAAUUUUGCUGAACACCCCAACUCUCUCAUUUCUUACACUUUUUGUCUUUCAGCAUCGUGAGAAGAUAUCAGAAAUGGCUUUUGCCGCCCUUACAUCUCUAGCUAACACAAUUGAGCAGAACCUAUACCACCAUCUGAUUCCUGAUCAGGAUAAACAGCAAAUUGAAACGUUUCUUCAAGAAGCUACUUUUUUACAGAAUUUUCUUGAAAAUUCUUUACAUGAAGAUAAUGACAAAGUAGAACGUUUGGAAAGUCAAAUCAGAGAUGUAGCAUACAGAGCAGCAGAUACCAUUGAAUCGCACCUGGUGGAUGGACUUCUUUCAGAAUCAGCAAGUUUGCACGGGACUAGUCCUUUCGAAUUUUUUUGCUUUUUACAUAUGAAAAUAAUUAUUGGAUUCAUUAACGUAAAAAAGGCGCUGGGCUGCCUUCCCUUUUUUACGCCGCCGGCUGAGAGCUGCAUGACCUUCAAUGAGGACUUAGAGAAAGUAAUAGAAGAAAUCCAUUCCAUUAAGGAAGAGGUGAUGAAGGUUGAGGGCGAGAUUCGCAUACAAGAUCUGCGGCCAAGGACUUCAUUGGGUGCUGUCUCAUCAAAACCUACUCUCAGUGGCGCGAGCACGAUGGUGGGUCUUGAUGAUCAAUUCGAGGAGAUCAGGACUCGGCUGAUUAUGGGAUCACCAAAACUUCAAAUUCUCUCCAUUCUCGGGAUGGGUGGAAUCGGUAAGACAACUUUGGCCAAAAAUAUAUACGAUGAUUUAUCUAUUAAAGAUCAUUUUUAUAUUCGUGGUUGGGUAACUGUAUCUCAAGAAUAUGAUCAAGAGUAUGAUGAGUCUAAACUUAUAUUAGACAUUUUAGAUUCCAUGAAAAUGCUCCUGACAAUAUGCGGCUUCAAGCGACUAGUGACAAAUUAAAAGGGCUUUUACACAAGACUCUUAGCCAGACGAGAUACCUUAUUGUUCUAGAUGAUCUGUGGGAUAAGAGGGCGUGGGAUGAUGUGAAACGAUUAUUUUCAAAUGACAGUAAUGGAAGUCGAAUCAUAUUGACUAUUAGGUUAAAGGAGAUUGCUGAUCAUGCCAACUCUUGUCCUCCACUUCAUCAAGUGCGUUUUCUAAACAACAUUGAAAGUUGGAAGUUAUUUUGUGACACGGUGUUUGGCCGUGAGGGUUGUUGCCCUCCUGAACUAGAUGAAAUUGGGAAGCAAAUUUCCCAAAAUUGUCGAGGGCUUCCACUCUCAAUUGUUGUGAUUGGGGGGCUCCUUUCAAAGGCCAUUAAAACAGAACAUUAUUGGAGUGAUAUUUUGAAAAGUUUGCACUCAACAUUGACUUCAAAUGAUGAACAGUGCUUAAAAGUACUAUCAUUAAGUUACAAACAUCUGCCUCAUCAUUUGAGAGGUUGUUUACUUUACAUGGGAAUUUUCCCAGAAGAUUCUGACAUUAGUGCUUUCCAACUUGUGAGUUUAUGGGUUGCUGAAGGAAUUCUAAAGCCUAUAAUAUCUAAAAGCUUAGAAGAUGUGGCGGAGGAGUAUUUGUUGGAUCUUGUAGACAGAAAUCUUAUUUUGGUUGGUACGAAAAACUACAUGGGCAAAAUCAAAACAUUCAAGAUUCAUGAUCUAUUGAGAGAUUUGUGUAUGAGACAAUCUAAAAAGGAGAUGUUUUUUCACCCCACUGACUGUUAUCUCCUCGAUGAGUCAAAAGAUAUUACUUCACGUCAUAUGAUUGGUCUUCCUCAUGAAAUGAAGCUUGACCUUGUAGCUGAAACAUUGCCAAGUUUUCUACCACGGUCUUUUUUUUUUUUUCACGUGGGGAAAGUUUUCAGAUACAAUAGAAAGUUCAAAUUUUAGGCUUGUCAGAGUAUUCCACAAUUACUAUUAUCCCGCUUGCAUGUCAUUUGCAUGGGAACAACUGGUUAGCUUGCGGUACCUCUAUUUCCCAGCGUUUGAUAAUUCUAUGGUUUUUCCAUCUUUGUGCAAACUUCGAUACCUACAAACCUUAAUUGUUACGUAUAUAGAGGAUGGGGAUUGGAGUCUUCUGAACUCAAAAAUAUGGGAAAUGCAAGAGUUAAGGCAUGUCGUGAUUAAGCCUCAAAUACUUCUUGAUCAUCCAGCUAGUGCAGAAAAUGAGAGGGAGAAUCCUAUUAUUGUUCUAGAAAACCUACAAACACUCACCAUGAUAAAGAAUUUCAGAUGUACAGAGGAGGUUCUCAAAAAAAUUCCAAAUCUAAAGAAGCUUGGAGUGUGUGACGAAAUUCCAUUAGAGGAUGGGCAUAAUUUUGUGCAUCUCCAUAAACUUGAAGAAUUAACCUACCAAUGUUGGUCAGUGCAUUCCAUAAAGAAUCAAUUUUUCCCUCAUUCACUCAAAAAGUUAACUUUAAUUUAUGGACACCGUGAUUGGGAAGAAAUGAAGGUCAUCGGUUCGCUGCCCAAUCUUCAAGUGCUCAAACUAAAGGACGAACCGUUCAUAGGCUCUAUAUGGGAAGUAGAUGAAGGAGAAUUUCUUCAACUGAAAGUUCUGCUACUUGAAGAAACUAAUAUUGAGAAGUGGUUAGCUGACAGCAUUCACUUCCCGGAACUUCAACGCCUAGUGAUUAAGAAAUGCUAUUAUCUGAAGAUCCCUAGUGGUAUUGGAGAAAUUCCAACUCUUCAAUCCAUUGAGGUUUUUCACUGUGGUAGUUCUGUCAUAACUUCAGCAAAUCAAAUACAAGAGGAACAAGAGAACUCGGGAAAUGAUAGUCUUCGAGUUCUUAUUAUUGGUGCAAUGGAGAACUGGCUUUCAGCCCCUGGGUUGAAGAUUUAAUUGUCCUUCUGGGUUAUGGGCUUCAGUAACCACAUUCUUCAAUUGGAGCUUGGCCCAAUCCUUGGUUUGUUUGUUAUUCAGCCAUCUGUGCCUUCUUGCAGAUUCUAUCUUGAGCUUUCAAGCAUUGCCUUACAGAUUGAUUUCUUUUGCGGGAUUAAUAAUUUGCCUAUUAAGCUUUCAUGUUUUAGUUUACUUUGAUGGAUGCUUAUGAUGUCCUUGUAACUGUUCUUUAUUCAGCUAUCUUUCAGUUGUACUUAAUUAUUAUGCAUUUACGAAAUUACCAUAUUUGUGGU